CACGGCAUUGUGGCAACAAUGGCACGGCAAGGGAGCUGUGUUUUGUUCUUCGGUUCCAUUUUAAUCCUGACCUAACAUUCCGGAAAAUGGAUCUCAAACCCCGGUGACAGUUAAGAACAGCGUUUACACCAACCGGUUCUGGCUAAAUUGGACUAGCAGAACACAGGAGGCUUCCAUUCCAGUUCAUGAUGAAAAUACAUUUUCACUACAAAGUACAGAGAACACGUCAGCCUGGAAAGUGUAACAUACCUAUGUGUACGUGUUCUUAAAAGUACGAUGUCUUUUUUUUUUUUUUCUAAGUUUCCUAUACAGCUUUGGCUUUCUACAAGCUUCCAUCAAAGCACUGGAGUAGACGCCAGAGUGAUGAAGAGUCUCCGCAGAGGGAGUGACCCUUGAGACAGCUCUUAAUUAAGUAGGAUGGGACUCUGUCAAGCAGCAAUUUAACGUGCAAAGACUUGAACACGGUCAUGAAAAGGCGUUGUGAGUCCUCUCCCAAGUGUUCCCCCUGGGUCCUCUUUAGAGCCUGCCCGCCCCCACCGUGCUGGCGGGACCUGUUGACUGAAUGGGCACCAGACAGUCGGUGGGGGCCGGGGAAUGACACCGAAAGCCACGCGAGCAGGGAAAGCAGGAGAAUGUCCUGCCGCCUCGGGCGUUGAAAUGGUGAAAAGGAUUUAGUUGGUGUUCAGCGAGACCUCUAGUGGCCCUGUAGUAGGAGAGGGUUAAAAAAGUGGCCACUUUGAACUCACUUGUCAGAAAGUGCUGUCACAUCCUCUGCUUCGUAAACAGCCACUGCCCUCUGUGGAAGCCGUCACCUUCUAGGCGCCGCGUGGGCGCGAGCGUGGAUGGACAAGGAGGAAAAACCGGACCGAGUCCCAGCUGCCGCCCAGAGGGGUCAGAGGAACCACGGUUUCUCUCUCUCUCCCUUGAAUACUAAGCUCUUCUAAAGAUCGCCGCCUCUAAGAAUUCUUUAACGCUCCGAAUACGGCUUCAGCUCGAACAGCUUCUAAUCCCUUCCUCCUGGAACCCUGUGUCUAAGCCACUCAACACAAGCGAAACAGCACCCCUGUGACCUUGUGGUAUUUUUCUCUCCCCGUUUUUUAUUUUUAAAAAUUGCGUCGUUCGUCCGUAAUUACAGACGGCAAGUGUCCAAGCUAACCGGAAGGUUCUCAUUCUUCACUUCGUCCUCCAAGUAUUGCCGUUUUCCAGUGCUGUUAUCUUGUCAUGAUAGUGAAAAAAAAAAAUACUUACGUAUUCAUAUAUGUAAAGAUAGUCCUCUUCUUCCAUGAAAUACCUAUACCUCCAACUCCCAAAAAUCAUAAUACGGGAACAGACCACGAAGUGAUAGCUUUGCCUAGGUGGGUAAGGGAGCUCACACUGAGGGACCCUCCACCCAUCUUGAGGCCUGUCUUCCUUCUAUCUCCCACCUCCCAGUCCUGGUUCCCAUCUAGUUCGUGUAGAGAACAUCAGGGUGAAGAAGAAGAAAAGAGAAGAAAGAGAUUAUCCAUUCAGACCUGAAUUUAGAGACUAGAAGAGGAAAUUGUCUUGGCAGUCCACUUGAAAGCCCUUCAGUCUCAUCUCUUAGUGCCAAGAAAGAUACAAUCGCAUACCCAGGGAGGCCAAAAGAGGGUGGUGGACCCCGGAACUGGAGUGCUGGGACUGGACCCCAGUCCUCUGCAAGAACAGCAGGAGCUCUUAGCCACUGAGACAUCUCUCCAAAUGUUCACUGUGAUCCUCCUACUUCAACCUUCCCAGGGCUGGGAUCACAGAUGUGCACCACCAUUCAGAUUCUCUAAGUUUUGACCACGAUUGUGUUCCAAACACACACAGCUCCACCUCGAUUUUUUGUUGGUGUUUUUUUUUUGAGGCAGAGUCUCAUGUAGCUGGCCUUGAACUCACCUUGUUGUCAAAAUUGACUCUGGAUUUUCCUGCCUCAACUUCCCAAGCACUGAGAUUACAGAAGUAUGCUACCACACCCAGCUCCACAAAUAAAUAUUUGAACAGAGGGCUUUUUGUUUUCUGUCUUUCCCCUCCCCCAAGAUCUUGCUAUGUUCCCUCGCUAAGCUAGCCUCAAACUCAGUCCUCUAGCCUCCAGAGCAGUUGAGAUUACAAUAUACGUAAGUGUGCCUGGCUUCAGGAGGUUCCUUACAGCCUAUAAAUGAGUGGCAAGGUUUGCUUUAUGAUUGCAAGAUUUUGCUUUAUGCUAUGUUCUUUCAGUAUAGAACCGUAUUGUUUUCAUAGUAAAGAGAGAAUCUGUGAUUCUACAAAAAGAAAGUGGUGCUCUCCCAUUUUCCAGGAACACGAACCCUCUGUACCCACGUCCUUCCUCCUUCCUUUCCUCUCCUCACUCCCUUCCACUUUCCCUUUCAUUUUUCCCAGCCUUCAAAGGGACAUGAUAGUAAGAGAAGAAGUGAAAGUUGGUGGUAAAAGCUUGGAGCGUCAAUGAAACCCUAAGGCAGUCUUUGGCAGUGUGAAUUCAUUCGAAGGCACCACGGCUGUUCGUCCUCUGCCAGUUGUACUUGGUGGGAAUAUAGCCCAGUGUGCCAGACUUUCUGGUGUUUUAGGAGAAGCCAGGAGCUUGGAGUUUUAUGCAA